UACAGAGGGUGCGAGCGUUAAUCGGAAUUACUGGGCGUAAAGCGCGCGUAGGCGGCUUUGCAAGUCGGGUGUGAAAUCCCCAGGCUUAACCUGGGAACUGCAUUCGAGACUGCAUUGCUAGAGUAUGGGAGAGGGAAGUGGAAUUUCCGGUGUAGCGGUGAAAUGCGUAGAUAUCGGAAGGAACAUCAGUGGCGAAGGCGACUUCCUGGCCUGUUCUUGACGCUGAGGCGCGAAAGCUAGGGGAGCAAACGGG
rnacentral:rRNA from 1 species